UGAGGAAUCUUCCACAAUGGGCGAAAGCCUGAUGGAGCAACGCCGCGUGCAGGAUGAAGGCCUUCGGGUCGUAAACUGCUUUUAUAAGUGAAGAAUAUGACGGUAGCUUAUGAAUAAGCACCGGCUAACUACGUGCCAGCAGCCGCGGUCAUACGUAGGGUGCAAGCAUUAUCCGGAGUGACUGGGCGUAAAGAGUUGCGUAUGUGGACAAGUUAGCGAAUAGUGAAAUCUGGUGGCUCAACCACACAGACUAUUAUUCGAACUGCUUGUCUCGAGAGUAGCAGAGGUAACUGGAAUUUCUAGUGUAGGAGUGAAAUCCGUAGAUAUUAGAAGGAACACCAAUGGCGUAGGCAGGUUACUGGGCUAUUUCUGACACUAAGGCACGAAAGCGUGGGGAGCGAACC
rnacentral:rRNA from 1 species